rnacentral:piRNA from 1 species
UACAAACUUAAAGGGCUUUUCAUCAGG